AGUGAACGCUGGCGGUAGGCCUAACACAUGCAAGUCGAACGGCAGCACAGGAGAGCUUGCUCUCUGGGUGGCGAGUGGCGGACGGGUGAGGAAUACAUCGGAAUCUACUUUUUCGUGGGGGAUAACGUAGGGAAACUUACGCUAAUACCGCAUACGACCUACGGGUGAAAGCAGGGGACCUUCGGGCCUUGCGCGAUUGAAUGAGCCGAUGUCGGAUUAGCUAGUUGGCGGGGUAAAGGCCCACCAAGGCGACGAUCCGUAGCUGGCCUGAAAGGAUGAUCAGCCACACUGGAACUGAGACACGGUCCAGACUCCUACGGGAGGCAGCAGUGGGGAAUAUUGGACAAUGGGCGCAAGCCUGAUCCAGCCAUACCGCGUGGGUGAAGAAGGCCUUCGGGUUGUAAAGCCCUUUUGUUGGGAAAGAAAUCCAGCUGGCUAUACCCGGUUGGGAUGACGGUACCCAAAGAAUAAGCACCGGCUAACUUCGUGCCAGCAGCCGCCGCCG
rnacentral:rRNA from 1 species